rnacentral:rRNA from 1 species
GAGGAAUAUUGGACAAUGGGUGGAAGCCUGAUCCAGCCAUCCCGCGUGAAGGAUGACGGUCCUAUGGAUUGUAAACUUCUUUUGUACAGGGAUAAACCUGCCCUCGUGAGGGCAGCUGAAGGUACUGUACGAAUAAGCACCGGCUAACUCCGUGCCAGCAGCCGCGGUAAUACGGAGGGUGCGCGCGUUAUCCGGAUUUAUUGGGUUUAAAGGGUCCGUAGGCGGGCCUGUAAGUCAGUGGUGAAAUCUCAUAGCUUAACUAUGAAACUGCCAUUGAUACUGCAGGCCUUGAGUAAAUUUGAAGUGGCUGGAAUAAGUAGUGUAGCGGUGAAAUGCAUAGAUAUUACUUAGAACACCGAUUGCGAAGGCAGGUCACUAAGAUUUAACUGACGCUGAUGGACGAAAGCGUGGGGAGCGAACA